CAUGAACACUUUCACUUUCCAAACACCACUUGAAGCGUACUUCCGUGUUUGCGGGCUAUCUAUUUUAUCAUCGAAAAUAACUUUAAUAACAACUUGUUGGCCUACAGUUGAAAACGUUUUCAUUACGUCCUCUACGUCCUUCUUCCAAACGCUCGUCUAUCGGUAUGUGCAUUCGUCUGAAUGAAUCAAUCCGCCCGGGGCCUGUAUUGAAAUGUAAAUAGACUACAUAAUGUCAAUCAAACGUUAAUUUAUCAGUGAAUAUAUAUAUGCAACCCAAAAUGAACCAUUAUUCAUUAUUAAACUAUUAAUAAUAUUCAGUGACCUGGUAAAUAUUUGAUUUUUUUCGACAAAGAAAACUGUAUUGAAGAGUUGCAGUUGCAUCUGCGCCAAUGGAGCCGUUGGAUUUUCUGACCGAUGAGGAAUUACUGCGGUUUUUCCGCUGUAGUAGGACUGAGAUGUCGUGCAUGGAGCAACCACACACAUUUCUUAACCAGCUCCGAGACCACAACCUCAUUCCGGAAGAAAUGUACAAGAAGCUGAUUCGGUGUAAGAGUAAGGAGGUGAGGGAGAAGGGUGUGUACCAGGUGUUGGACUGGGUGGAGGCAGAGAGGCCCGACAGCAUCAAGGUGUUCUGGAACUGUGUGUUCAGGGACCACCUCCUGCAGCAGUACCCCACGUUACGCCUGCUCCGAAACCACCUGCUGGACGGGUCGUUCACAUUCUAUGAGAAACUGACAAAGAAGGUGGAGAAGGAUGAGGAGGAGGAGGAUAAAAAGAAGGCUUCAGAGGAAGGAGAAGAUGGGGAGGAGGAAGAGGAGAAAGAGGAGGAGGAGGUGAAAACAAGGAAAAAUUGUAAAGAGAAAGAGAGAAGUGAGAGUGCUGAGGAGGAGCAGCCCAGCACAUCCACCCAGUCCAACCCCAGUCAGAAGAGGAAAGUCCAGAGUCCAACCAACUGUUUUGCUUCCAGGAAGGGGGAGAAAGAUGACAUCUGGACCUGGCCCAUCUACAAGACCCAGCUCCCAGUCACCUGUGGGGACAAAGAAGGCAUUCUCAUCAGGAACAAGCUGGCCAAAGGGGAGAGGUGCAUUGUGGUCCAGGGUCGCUGGUUCACCCCAAGUGGCUUUGAGGAAUUUGGGGGGAAGAAGAGCAGUAAGAAGUGGAAGUACAGUAUCCGAUGUAGCGGCACCACUCUGGGAGAACUGAUCCAGGAAGGUCAUUUAACUUCACCAGACUUUAAAAGAAGAAAAAGUGCACAGGAUCACCACCCUGGUUCCUCAUCCACUGUUCGGAGGUCCCUACAAAUGAAUAGAACGAGUGCACUGUUUCCCUCCAACCAAUCAGUGGGCUCAAUCACACAAUCUGAGGAGGAUGACGAUGAGGAGGACGAGGUAGCGGACGAAGCAGAGCAGGAAAGAGAGGAAGGAGAGAGAGAAGAGCAGGCAAACACUGCUGAAGGAUUGAGCAGGAAAGGAGGCAGCCAUGGUGCUGUGAAAAAGUCUGUCUUCAAAGUCACCUGUGGAGACAUCAAUGGGAUGCUACAUAAGGAUCGGUUUGCAUCAGGGUCGUGUGGAAAGAGCAUCCGUACGGAGCUGCGCUGGAUGACCCCGGUGGAGUUUGUGAAGGGGGAGUCAGCUUUGGAAGAUCCCUCCUGGAAGAAAGACAUCCAGUGGGACGGGAAACCACUCAGCCUCCUCAUAGAGAGUAAGAUCUUGGUCAUCCACUCUCUCCUGUGUAAGUGCAAGCUGUGCAGCUCCACAACCAAAGACAGGGAUAACGAUGACGACUGCUUCAUCUGUAGAAGCCAGGGUAGCUUGAUAUGCUGUGAUGAGUGUCCUCGCUCCUUCCAUCAGAGAUGUCAUCUUCCUAAUGUGGAUGAUGCUAUCCUUGGGGAUGAUCGUCCGUGGUUGUGUACAUUCUGUGUACUGAGGGCCAGUCAGUCGUGGAGUUACCCCACACAAAUGACCUACCAGGAAGCCUUGACCUGCCGAAUCUCUGACCACCCACUGGAAUGCCAGUACCUCCUGCUGUGUCUCUACCAUGCAGAUGAGGACCACAUCUUUGUGAAAGAUCCUUGCAUCAAUGUGAGAAACUACACCAGUGUGAUAAAGACCCCUAUAUGGCUGGAUAGGGUUGUGGAGAAGCUGCAGCAGAAUCUCUACCAGUCGGUGCAACACUUUGUGUCUGAUGUGUUGCUUAUCUUCACCAACUGUGCCACAUUUAACAGGGACAAUGCAGAGUUCUGUGUGAUGGGCGAAAGAUUGAAGGAUCUAUUUGAGAGAGAGUUCAAGAGUACAUUCAGCAUCCAACUUCAGCAUCCAACUGCAUCCAACAGCCAGUAGAGCCUGUACUGUACUCUCACUAUUUUUUAUAUUUUUUAUUUUAUUGAACCUUUAUUUAACCAGGUAGGCUAGUUGAGAACAAGUUCUCAUUUGCAACUGUGACCUGGCCAAGAUAAAGCAAAGCAGUUCGACACAUACAACAACACAUGGAGUUACACAUGGAAUAAACAAACAUACAAUCAAUAAUACAGUAGAAAAAUCUAUAUACAGCAUGUGCAAAUGAGGUAGGAUAAGAGAGGUAAAGGCAAUAAAUAGGCCAUGGUGGCGAAGUAAUUACAAUAUAGCAAUUAAACACUGGAAUGGUAGAAUGUACAGAAGAUGAAUGUGCAAGUAGAGAUACUGGGGUGCAAAGGAGCAAGAUAAAUAAAUAAAUACAGUAUGGGGAUGAGGUAGAUUGGAUGGGCUAUUUACAGAUGAGCUAUGUACAGGUGCAGUGAUCUGUGAGCUAUGAGACACAGGGAAUAUUCACCAUGCCCUGAUCUUUCUAUAGAGCCUUCAUACAGACUUGCAUGUACAUUGUUAUCCAAAUCAAAUCCAAUUUUAUUUGUCACAUCCACAUGGUUAGCAGAUGUUAGUGCGAGUGUAGCGAAAUGCUUGUGCUUCUAGUUCCGACAAUGCAGUAAUAACCAACAAGUAAUCUAGCUAACAAUUCCAAAACUACUACCUUAUAGACACAAGUGUAAGGGGAUAAAGAAUAUGUACAUAAAGAUAUAUGAAUGAGUGAUGGUACAGAGCGGCAUAGGCAAGAUACAGUAGAUGGUAUUGAGUGCAGUAUAUACAUAUGAGAUGAGUAUGUAAACAAAGUGGCAUAGUUAAAGUGGCUAGUGAUACAUGUAUUACAUAAGGGUGCAGUAGAUGAUAUAGAGUACAGUAUAUACGUAUACAUAUGAGAUGAAUAAUGUAGGGUAUGUAAACAUUAUAUUAGGUAGCAUUUCAUGAAUUUUCAUCUAGUCAUUUCAUGAAUUUAUUUAAUUCAUUCUAACAGUCAAAAUGGGUGUGUCAUAAUAAUUGAAAUAUAAUGGUGAUAACAUUUCAUUUAAUCUCUCAUUCAAGAAAGAGCCUUAGAAUGUCUUACCUUCCAGGUUCUUACUUCUGGUUAGGCCUCACUAUAUUUAUGUUCAGGGAUUCUGUUGAAAAUAAACUCAUGAAUUUCUGAAACAUUGUAGAACAUACUGUAGGUCUACUUGUUUGACUGUGUGUAGCCUUCCAGAAUGUGGUUCUGUUGAGGAGAAUAUCAUCAGAGCAGAAGCGCCCUCUUCAGGGCAGUUUGGGCAGCGUCUGCUUUGCGUCUCUGCCCAACGCUGGUAUCGUCACCACAAUUGCCAGCAGUGAAUCCCUGCCCAAAGCUGCGCAGCAGCGUUAUGCAGACAUGCUUGGUAAAGAAUGCAGAAGUGUCCACUUAAUUUGAGGGCUGAGGGUGUGUCUUUUAAGUGUUUGGAACGUAACCUCAGAGCCCUUUGACAAAGAAGACGAAUCAUCUUCGCUGCUUUCGAGUAGAGUGCAGCUUCAUGAUAUUUCUCCGGGAGAAGGCGGUCCAAAAGAUGACCGCGGCUGGCAACUAAAACGACUACCAAACCCAUAGUACUUUCAUGGACAGCACUGGGGCUGGAAGACUUGGAGGAAGAGGGAAGUCCAGGGGAAGCAGAGUCGCUGCCACCAACAAGACAGCUGGACUACCACUUCUUUGUGGAAGUGGUGUUGAGAGCCACGGCCAGAGGGGCCGCCGUCGGGCUACUUAGAGGAGUAGCAGUCGUCUCAUUGGUCUGGAUAGCAGAGGUCCUGUCUGGGUCGCUUCGCUGCUCAACGCCCCCUUCUUGGGGCUUCUGAUCGGGCUGGGGGUGGGUGCUGCAGAUGGGGUGGACCGGGCGGUGGAGUUCCUGGAGCCUUGGGUGUGGUGGGAGGUUGUGGGUAAUGAGGUGAGCGGGGCUGGGGGCCAGGUUGGCUACAGUGAGUUGGGGUGGCCAUUGGGGUUUGAUGAGCAUCUUGGCAGUCAGGGCAAUAAAGAACGCGGUGAAGGGUGCUGAGAUCAGGAUGGUGCCGUUCCAGACCUGACACCAGGAUAAAGUGACUAAGGGGGCAUUGAAAUGAUAUUGAAUUCAGCUUAUAUCACACUACGCCACAAACAUAACGUUCAAAUGCAGAGACUCUAUGACCAUUGCUUGAGGUUGGCGUGAAAUCUGUUGCCUAUCUCUGCUGCACUGUAUCAGCACAAUGGACGGCGCUCUACACACUAAAGCAAGGCGGUUUUGGUAAUGAAUAUAGGCUACAAGAUUCAGUUCCUUCAAAAAGUAUUCAUAGUGUUACAGCCUGAAUUAAAAAUGGAUUAAAUACACAUUCUCACCCA